UUAUUUAUAUGAUGAUUUAAUUUGCGAUUAAGAGCAACAUACCUGGGACAUGCCUAGUUCCAUUAUGGGUAUGUUUGCGGAAUGCGAACAACUUCUUUGACUGAUACAUUU
rnacentral:snoRNA from 1 species